GACGAACGCUGGCGGCGUGCUUAACACAUGCAAGUCGAACGGAAAGGCCCUGCUUUUGUGGGGUGCUCGAGUGGCGAACGGGUGAGUAACACGUGAGUAACCUGCCCUUGACUUUGGGAUAACUUCAGGAAACUGGGGCUAAUACCGGAUAGGAGCUCCUGCUGCAUGGUGGGGGUUGGAAAGUUUCGGCGGUUGGGGAUGGACUCGCGGCUUAUCAGCUUGUUGGUGGGGUAGUGGCUUACCAAGGCUUUGACGGGUAGCCGGCCUGAGAGGGUGACCGGCAAAAUGGGGACGGAGAUACGGCCCAGACUCCAGCGGGGGGCAGCAGUGGGGAAUAUUACACAAUGGGGGGAAGCCUGAUGCAGCAACGCCGGGGGCGGGAUGACGGCCUUCGGGUUGGAAACCGCUUUCGCCUGUGACGAAGCGUGAGGGACGGUAAUGGGUAAAGAAGCACCGGCUAACUACGUG
rnacentral:rRNA from 1 species